AUUGAACGCUGGCGGCAGGCUUAACACAUGCAAGUCGAGCGGGAUGAUGGUGCUUGCACUAUCACUUAGCGGCGGACGGGUGAGUAAUGCUUAGGAAUCUGCCUAUUAGUGGGGGACAACAUCUCGAAAGGGAUGCUAAUACCGCAUACGUCCUACGGGAGAAAGCAGGGGAUCACUUGUGACCUUGCGCUAAUAGAUGAGCCUAAGUCGGAUUAGCUAGUUGGUGGGGUAAAGGCCUACCAAGGCGACGAUCUGUAGCGGGUCUGAGAGGAUGAUCCGCCACACUGGGACUGAGACACGGCCCAGACGCCUACGGGAGGCAGCAGUGGGGAAUAUUGGACAAUGGGGGGAACCCUGAUCCAGCCAUGCCGCGUGUGUGAAGAAGGCCUUAUGGUUGUAAAGCACUUUAAGCGAGGAGGAGGCUCUUUUGGUUAAUACCCAAGAUGAGUGGACGUUACUCGCAGAAUAAGCACCGGCUAACUCUGUGCCAGCCGCCGCUGUAAAAC
rnacentral:rRNA from 1 species